UGUCUCAUCAGCUGGUUGUUACCUGAGAACCAACAGUUUUUUUUUUAAUCUAGAGGAAAGCUACACAACUGGAGAGCAAAAUGAGUAAAUCCAUGCCCAUCAAGCUCAGAAGACUUAGAAGUAUCUUAGUGAGGCAUGAAUCAUGCUACAGUACUUUUGAGAAAGAUUUUGCCACUCUCUAGGGCACAGAUGCACAUGGAUGCUCAAUGAACUACGAGAGGGAAGAAUUUCUCCUUGGGAGCUGCUUCAGAGAGCCUUGCAUGGAGAGAGUAUGGCCCUGGGGCAGGUCGGGAGCACACUGCAGCUUUUCUCUGGACCAAGUCUGGAGAGUCGUGGGCUUAGCAAAGGAUGAUUAUAAAAAGUCUUCCACCUAGAACUUCCUCCAAGCAUCGAUGUCACUACUGCAUCUCCUUAGACUCCUCUUCCCUAGCUGACCUGAGGAGACCGUGGCCCAGGGCGGUCCUGCCUCGGGAGUCCACCACAGAGCUGGGACCCGCUCCAGGUUUCCAGCUGGUGUGUUCCCGUCAAACUUCACUGCAUCCAAGCCUGACAACUAUGUCAUGAAACUAUGUGUGCGAGUUGACAGAGUUGAAGCUCCUGGCCUUUCAUCUUUCUUCCCAUUUUGUUGUUGUUCUCCCAGUGUUUUAUUCUCUAUUUUCACUGCAUGACUCUAGACUAUUUCUUACCCAAUAGAAGAAAGAUUAUU